AUCCCUAGGUUCGAAUCCUAGUACCCCAGCCA
rnacentral:tRNA from 1 species